rnacentral:rRNA from 1 species
GUGCCAGCAGCCGCGGUAAUACGUAGGGGGCAAGCGUUAUCCGGAUUUACUGGGUGUAAAGGGUGCGUAGGUGGUAAUGCAAGUCAGAUGUGAAAACUCAGGGCUCAACCUUGAGGCUGCAUCUGAAACUGCGUAACUAGAGUGCAGGAGAGGAAAGUGGAAUUCCGAGUGUAGCGGUGAAAUGCGUAGAGAUUCGGAGGAACACCAGUAGCGAAGGCGACUUUCUGGACUGUAACUGACACUGAGGCACGAAAGCGUGGGGAGCGAACAGGAUUAGAAACCCGCGUAGUCC